UCCGUAGGCGGAAAAUUAAGUCAGUAGUGAAAUCCUGCAGCUUAACUGUAGAACUGUUAUUGAUACUGGUUUUCUUGAAUAUAGUUGAGGUAGGCGGAAUGUGUAAUGUAGCGGUGAAAUGCUUAGAUAUUACACAGAACACCGAUUGCGAAGGCAGCUUACUAAGCUAUGAUUGACGCUGAGGUACGAAAGCGUGGGGAGCGAACAGGAUUAGAUACCCUGGUAGUCC
rnacentral:rRNA from 1 species